UACGAAGGGGGCUAGCGUUGUUCGGGAAUUACUGGGCGUAAAGCGUGCGCAGGCGGCUUUCCAAGUCAGUGGUGAAAGCCCGGAGCUCAACUCCGGAAAUGCCAUUGAAACUGUGAAGCUUGAGAACGAGAGAGGUGAGUGGAAUUCCCAGUGUAGAGGUGAAAUUCGUAGAUAUUGGGAAGAACACCAGUGGCGAAGGCGGCUCACUGGCUCGUAACUGACGCUCAUGCACGACAGCGUGGGGAUCAAACAGG
rnacentral:rRNA from 1 species